rnacentral:rRNA from 1 species
ACUACAAGUGAUAAACUUUAAACUCUAAGGACCUGGCGGUGUCCCACCCGUACUAGAGGAGCCUGUCCUAUAAUCGACACUACACGCUAUACCUCACCCCCCCUUGCCACCUCAACUUGUAUACCGCCGUCACCAGCUCACAAUGUGAAUGCACUGCCGUGAGCAAAACCAUUAACCAUUAAAACGACAGGUCAAGGCGUAGUUCAUGGGGGGGAAAGCGAUGGGCUACAUUUCCUUCACUAGAACACACCACCCGCACCGUGAAAUCUAUGCCCACAGGCGGAUUUAGAAGUAAGCUUGGCAAGACGUGCCAACCUGAAAUACGCCC